rnacentral:rRNA from 1 species
GAUGAACGCUGGCGGCGUGCCUAAUACAUGCAAGUCGAGCGAACAGACGAGGAGCUUGCUCCUCUGACGUUAGCGGCGGACGGGUGAGUAACACGUGGAUAACCUACCUAUAAGACUGGGAUAACUUCGGGAAACCGGAGCUAAUACCGGAUAAUAUAUUGAACCGCAUGGUUCAAUAGUGAAAGACGGUUUUGCUGUCACUUAUAGAUGGAUCCGCGCCGCAUUAGCUAGUUGGUAAGGUAACGGCUUACCAAGGCAACGAUGCGUAGCCGACCUGAGAGGGGGAUCGGCCACACUGGAACUGAGACACGGUCCAGACUCCUACGGGAGGCAGCAGUAGGGAAUCUUCCGCAAUGGGCGAAAGCUUGACGGAGCAACGCCGCGUGAGUGAUGAAGGUCUUCGGAUCGUAAAACUCUGUUAUUAGGGAAGAACAAAUGUGUAAGUAACUAUGCACGUCUUGACGGUACCUAAUCAGAAAGCCCCGGCUAACUACGU